rnacentral:rRNA from 1 species
UACGGAGACUGCAAGCGUUAUUCGGAUUCACUGGGCGUAAAGGGUGCGUAGGCGGUCGUGCAAGUCGGAUGUGAAAUCUCAGGGCUCAACCCUGAAACUGCAUUCGAUACUGCGCGGCUAGAGUGCUGGAGGGGAGACUGGAAUUUACGGUGUAGCAGUGAAAUGCGUAGAUAUCGUAAGGAAGACCAGUGGCGAAGGCGAGUCUCUGGACAGCAACUGACGCUGAGGCACGAAGGCCAGGGGAGCAAACGGG